rnacentral:rRNA from 1 species
CCUACGGGAGGCAGCAGUCGAGAAUCAUUCACAAUGGGGGAAACCCUGAUGCUGCGACGCCGCGUGGGGGAAUGAAGGUCUUCGGAUUGUAAACCCUUGUCAUGUGGGAGCAAAUUAAAAAGAUCGUACCACAAGAGGAAGAGAAGGCUAACUCUGUGCCAGCAGCCGCGGUAAUACAGAGGGCUCAAGCGUUGUUCGGAAUCACUGGGCGUAAAGCGUGCGUAGGCGGUUUCGUAAGUCGUGUGUGAAAGGCGCGGGCUCAACCCGCGGACGGCACAUGAUACUGCGAGACUAGAGUGAGGGAGGGGGAACCGGAAUUCUUGGUGUAGCAGUGAAAUGCGUAGAUAUCGAGAGGAACACUCGUGGCGAAGGCGGGUUCCUGGACAUUAACUGACGCUGAGGCACGAAGGCGAGGGGAGCGAAAAGGAUUAGAUACCCUAGUAGUC